rnacentral:rRNA from 1 species
GAUGAACGCUGGCGGCGUGCCUAAUACAUGCAAGUCGAGCGAACAGACGAGGAGCUUGCUCCUCUGACGUUAGCGGCGGACGGGUGAGUAACACGUGUAUAACCUACCUAUCAGACUGGGAUAACUUCGGGAAACCGGAGCUAAUACCGGAUAAUAUAUUGAACCGCAUGGUUCAAUAGUGAAAGACGGUUUUGCUGUCACUUAUAGAUGGAUCCGCGCCGCAUUAGCUAGUUGGUAAGGUAACGGCUUACCAAGGCAACGAUGCGUAGCCGACCUGAGAGGGGGAUCGGCCACACUGGAACUGAGACACGGUCCAGACUCCUACGGGAGGCAGCAGUAGGGAAUCUUCCGCAAUGGGCGAAAGCUUGACGGAGCAACGCCGCGUGAGUGAUGAAGGUCUUCGGAUCGUAAAACUCUGUUAUUAGGGAAGAACAAAUGUGUAAGUAACUAUGCACGGCUUGACGGUACCUAAUCAGAAAGCCACGGCUAACUACGUG